rnacentral:tRNA from 1 species
GCCACAGUAGCUUAAACAAAGCAUUGGUCUUGUAAACCAAAGAAUAAAGUGUAAAACCUUUCUGUAGCU